rnacentral:rRNA from 1 species
GAUGAACGCUGGCGGCGUGCCUAAUACAUGCAAGUCGAGCGAACAGACGAGGAGCUUGCUCCUUUGACGUUAGCGGCGGACGGGUGAGUAAGACGUAGGUAACCUACUUAUAAGACUGGGAUAACUUCGGGAAAACGGAGCUAAUACUGGAUAAUAUUUCGAACCGCAUGGUUCGAUAGUGAAAGAUGGCUUUGCUAUCACUUAUAGAUGGACCUGCGCCGUAUUAGCUAGUUGGUAAGGUAACGGCUUACCAAGGCAACGAUACGUAGCCGACCUGAGAGGAUGAUCAGCCACACUGGAACUGAGACACGGUCCAGACUCCUACGGGAGGCAGCAGUAGGGAAUCUUCCGCAAUGGGCGAAAGCCUGACGGAGCAACGCCGCGUGAGUGAUGAAGGUCUUCGGAUCGUAAAACUCUGUUAUUAGGGAAGAACAAACGUGUAAGUAACUGUGCACGUCUUGACGGUACCUAAUCAGAAAGCCACGGCUAACUACGUG